CCUCCUGGUGUGUGACGUUCACUUGAAGACUGGCCCAGAGAGAGAUGAUGUCUCAGCCAGUCCCAGGAUGGAUGCAGGGGGUUCGAGACAUCAAUGCAACCAAGAACAUGAAAAUAUUGAUUACAUUCCUGAACUGACAUUAUAAACCGGAGUCGCUGGACCUCCAGGGU